AGUUUUUAUGCCCCACCUACGAUAGUAGAGGGGCAUUAUGUUUUCUGGUCUGUGCGUCCGUUCGUUCGUUCGUCCGUCCGUCUGUUCGUUCGUCCGUUCGUUCGUUCGUCCGUCUGUCCCGCUUCAGGUUAACGUUUUUGGUCGAGGUAGUUUUUGAUGAAGUUGAAGUCCAAUCGACUUCAAACUUGGUACACAUGUUCCCUAUGAUAUGAUCUUUCUAAUUUUAAUGCCAAAUAAGAGAUUUUACCCCAAUUUCACGGUCCACUGAACAUAGAAAAUGAUAGUGCGAGUGGGGCAUUCGUGUACUGAGGACACAUUCUUGUUUAUAUAUA
rnacentral:lncRNA from 1 species